rnacentral:tRNA from 1 species
AGGUCCUUAGCUUAGUGGUAGAUUAUUUGACUGCAAGUCAAAAGGUCACCAGUUCAAACCUGAUAGAGCCUU